rnacentral:rRNA from 1 species
ACGGGAGGCAGCAGUGGGGGAUGUUGCACAAUGGGGGAAACCCUGAUGCAGCAACGCCGCGUGAGGGAAGACGGUCUUCGGAUUGUAAACCUAAGUUGUCAGGGACGAAUUUUGACGGUACCUGAAGAGAAAGCUCCGGCUAACUACUUGCCAGCAGCCGCGGUAAUACGUAGGGAGCGAGCGUUGUCCGGAUUUACUGGGUGUAAAGGGUGCGUAGGCGGGUCUGCAAGUCAGACGUGAAAUGCCGGGGCUUAACUCAGGAGCUGCGUUUGAAACUGUAGAGCUUGAGUGAAGUAGAGGCAAGCGGAAUUCCUAGUGUGGCGGUGAAAUGCGUAGAUAUUAGGAGGAACACCAGUGGCGAAGGCGGCUUGCUGGGCUUUAACUGACGCUGAGGCACGAAAGCGUGGGGAGCAAACAGGAUUAGAUACCCUGGUA